rnacentral:snRNA from 1 species
AUCGCUUCUCGGCCUUUUGGCUAAGAUCAAGUGUAGUAUCAUCUAACGAACUAACCAGCAUCACCCUUUGUUUUCCAUUUUACUUUGGACCUUGGUUAAUAACAGUUUGGUCACUUGUAUCUUCUAAACUCUUAUUUCUGUUUUUAGUAUAUUCUCC